ensembl:lncRNA
GGCCCUGACCAAGCAGCACCCACUCCUCUCUUGGGUCUUGCUCCCUCCCAGGGGCACUGCUGAGAAGCUGGACACAGAUCUCCUUUGCUCUAGGGACCCAUCAAACUUACCUCUGCUAGUCUGGGAAAUGUUUGUUCAGCAGCUGUGAUUUUGGUGUGUUCCUGAAAGGAGGUGUGGUCAAAGUCCAUCUCCUCUGUCGUCUUGGCCUCUCUCCCACCUCAACAACAGUUUUAAAACAUUUGUGCCAAGAGCUGCAAAAAUAAAGGUCCAAAACUCGGUGUUGAAAAAGAAGGGGGAAAGUCACACAGGUGUCAGAACUUGCAGGGACUCAGCAGGUCCCGCUGCUGGAAUGGGGCUGAUGAAGUCUUUGGAAAGUUUUUGGCUCUUCAUGGCUGCCAACUCUGAGUUGUCAGCAAAGCCUUGGGUGGAGACCCGAGGUCGUUUUUGACGGUCAAGGCCAGCAUCAGGAAAAAGGGAAAGGUCAAAGCCAAGCCCCCAGCCACCCCUGGGGUCCAACCGUAAAGGAAUUCCUCGUUCGAGUGGUGCCCAGAUCUCUGUGUUCCUGAGUCACUGCCUGGAGGUGAACGGAGAGGCCAGAAAAGACUCUUCAGAGUACAGCCUCCUGUUGCUCCUGCAGCCAGCGCGCAGGGAUGCACGUGUGUGCAGCUCACCGCUCUGCACUUGGGUGCCAAUCAUUUGUUUUUUAAGAAGCAUCAGUCUUUUCCAGUGAGUCGGCUCUUCCCAUCAGGUGGACAAAGUAUUGGAGCUUCAGCAUCAGUCCUUCGGUCAAUAUUCAGGGUUGAUUUCCUUUAGGAUUGACUGGUUGGAUCUCCUUGCAGUCCAGGGGACUCUCAAGAGUCUUCUCUAGCACCACAGUUCAAAAGCAUUAAUUCUUUGGUGCUGAGCCUUCUUUAUGGUCCAAUUCUCAUGUCUGUACAUGACUACUGGUAUUACAGCAUAAUGAUUAAGAGCAUAGACUCUGGAUAAGACAUAAUCUAUGUGACCUUGGAUAAGUUAUUUAACUUCUCUGUAUCUCAGUUUCCUCAUUAGUAG